CUUCAAAUUCUUAAUCAUCAAUUUUAAAGCUUCAAAUUCUUAAUCAUCAAUUUUAAAGCUUCUAAUUCAUAAUUCUUUAUUCUUCUAAUAUGAAGAUGAUGAGUGCAACUUAUAUUCAAUUCCAAUUCAAUUUGAUUUUGAACUUUUUCAAUGUUCGAUAUGUCCAGAACGCCUGAACCCAAAUGAUUUUGCACUGCUUCUGUUUAGAUCUUGCAAAGCAUAGAGAAAGAAAUCAAAGCAAAAGAGGUUUGAGGAGGGACAUUGGCCUCAAAUGUCGGAGUUCUUGAUCGUUCGGGAAAAAGUUGAUGCGGAAUUCCAUUACCUAAACUUGAGUCUUGUAGCUGAUUGGUGGGGUGAUUUAGGACAGUUACUGUUGGCAAUUUUGCAAAUUGUUUGAGUGCCAAUAUUUAUGCCUAUUUUGAAACUGCUCUUCACCUAGAUUUAUAAUGCAUGUUCAUCGCAUGGCAUAAACAGGAAGUGAUUGUGCAGGUUUUCCUUGAUAUGUGCAAUUACCAAAUCCAUUUCCCAGGCUUUUACAUAUGCUGAAGCAAUGAACAGACACGGCUCAGACAGGCAGGAUACUAGAAUUGAUCUUGAGUUAAAAGAUGUUAUGAUCUUCCCUUUUCGUCCUCAGUAGCAUCGUAUUUUCUAGCAGCAUCUCAAUAUCUCAUAGACUCAUACAUAAAGAUAUCCAAAAGACUCAUACUUUAUUUUGUUCUGCGGUAAUUUACAUGUACUUGCUUCUCACUUGAUCCUGCUGAAAUAUAAUUUUUCAUUGGGUUGCCGCAGAUAUCAGACUUUUUCUUACAGUCAUCCUUCAGAGUUUUUUCUUAUUGCUUGGAAAGUGGGGGAGUUAUUAAAGUGUCGAGUGUACCUUCUAGUGCAAAAUGAUAAUCAAACUCAACACUUAGGAAGAGUGAUAUUUUUUUUACUAAGCAAUGAAAGCUUGUGCGGGAACAGUUUUUUUUGCUUAAGGUCUUGGAUACUGGGGAGACUGAGGGAAUUGCUGCUUUAGUAUCAAGCAUGGAUGCUACAACUAGAGAGAGUUCCGUAAAAGCUACCUUCUUUUAUUUUCUUUUGCUAUUGAGCUUUUAAGGCAAGCAUUCAAUUUUGCGGAUCACUGAUUUUCCAAUGUUUGAGCGGAAUGAUACGGAGCAGAGGCUUGAGGUUCUACAUCAUCCUUUCCCUGUGCUAAAGACAUGAAUGACCUUACAUCUCCCCAUGCAUUAGCGUAUGACAUGGUUUACAAUGGAGUGGAGAUUGGCAGGGGAAGUUUAAGAAUUUAUAAACGUGACAUGCAACAAAAGGCUUUGAAGAUCACUGGCAUCUCAAUGGAGCAGCACAAAACGAUUUAGCUGGAGAGAGCAUUGCCUUUUUCACUAGCGUAAUUUGUUGCAGAUUACAGCCAAUUAGCAUGAGAGACUAUGAGUAGUUCAUUGCAGGAAGAAAGGAUUUAGCUUGACGAUAUAUCAGCACAAAUGUCAUAUUGUCAUAUUAUAAAUUAUAACUUUCAAUAUAUUAACUUAAAAUGAUAUAAUACAAACAUUGUCCCAAUUAGUACUCAAAAGAAUAUUUUAUCUAUGAUUAAUUCAAUUAAUAAUCAUAUUGUCAUAUUAUGAAUUAUAGUUUCAAUAUAUUAUAUUACUUUUCUCCAAGGGCCGAGACUCUUAGUAAUGAAAGGGGACAGUGGUCUCAAAUUAUAAUUUUUGUUGAGAAAAAAUGAGUUUCUAUAGAGAUAGUCUCCCCUUAAAUUAUAUUAUACAGCCUUCUUAAGAAUAGUCUUUGCAUGAUAUAAAAUUGUAAGU